rnacentral:rRNA from 1 species
AGAGUUUGAUCCUGGCUCAGAUUGAACGCUGGCGGCAUGCUUUACACAUGCAAGUCGAACGGCAGCACGGGGGCAACCCUGGUGGCGAGUGGCGAACGGGUGAGUAAUACAUCGGAACGUAUCCUUGAGUGGGGGAUAACGCAGCGAAAGUUGUGCUAAUACCGCAUGAGCUCUGAGGAGGAAAGUGGGGGACCGUAAGGCCUCACGCUGAAGGGGCGGCCGAUGUCCGAUUAGCUAGUUGGUGAGGUAAAGGCUCACCAAGGCUUCGAUCGGUAGCUGGUCUGAGAGGAUGAUCAGCCACACUGGGACUGAGACACGGCCCAGACUCCUACGGGAGGCAGCAGUGGGGAAUUUUGGACAAUGGGGGCAACCCUGAUCUNGCCAUGCCGCGUGAGUGAAGAAGGCCUUCGGGUUGUAAAGCUCUUUCGUGAGGGAAGAAACGGCCAUAGUGAAUAGCUGUGGUUACUGACGGUACCUCAAGAAGAAGCACCGGCUAACUACGUGCCAGCAGCCGCGGU